rnacentral:rRNA from 1 species
AGUCGAGCGGAUGAAGGGAGCUUGCUCCUGGAUUCAGCGGCGGACGGGUGAGUAAUGCCUAGGAAUCUGCCUGGUAGUGGGGGAUAACGUUCCGAAAGGAACGCUAAUACCGCGUACGUCCUACGGGAGAAAGCAGGGGACCUUCGGGCCUUGCGCUAUCAGAUGAGCCUAGGUCGGAUUAGCUAGUUGGUGAGGUAAUGGCUCACCAAGGCGACGAUCCGUAACUGGUCUGAGAGGAUGAUCAGUCACACUGGAACUGAGACACGGUCCAGACUCCUACGGGAGGCAGCAGUGGGGAAUAUUGGACAAUGGGCGAAAGCCUGAUCCAGCCAUGCCGCGUGUGUGAAGAAGGUCUUCGGAUUGUAAAGCACUUUAAGUUGGGAGGAAGGGCUGUAGGCUAAUAUCCUGCGGUUUUGACGUUACCAACAGAAUAAGCACCGGCUAACUUCGUGCCAGCAGCCGCGGUAAUACGAAGGGUGCAAGCGUUAAUCGGAAUUACUGGGCGUAAAGCGCGCGUAGGUGGUUCGUUAAGUUGGAUGU